rnacentral:rRNA from 1 species
GACGAACGCUGGCGGCGUGCCUAUACAUGCAGUCGAGCGAAGUUUUUCUGGUGCUUGCACUAGAAAAACUUAGCGGCGAACGGGUGAGUAACACGUAAAGAACCUGCCUCAUAGACUGGGACAACUAUUGGAAACGAUAGCUAAUACCGGAUAACAGCAUUAACUGCAUGGUUAAUGUUUGAAAGUUGGUUUUGCUAACACUAUGAGAUGGCUUUGCGGUGCAUUAGCUAGUUGGUGGGGUAAAGGCCUACCAAGGCGACGAUGCAUAGCCGACCUGAGAGGGUGAUCGGCCACACUGGGACUGAGACACGGCCCAGACUCCUACGGGAGGCAGCAGUAGGGAAUCUUCCGCAAUGGGCGAAAGCCUGACGGAGCAACGCCGCGUGAGUGAAGAAGGAUUUCGGUUCGUAAAGCUCUGUUGUUAGGGAAGAAUGAUUAUGUAGUAACUAUACAUAGUAGAGACGGUACCUAACCAGAAAGCCACGGCUAACUACGUGCCAGCAGCCGCGGUAAUACGUAGGUGGCAAGCGUUGUCCGGAAUUAUUGGGCGUAAAGCGCGCGCAGGUGGUUUAAUAAGUCUGAUGUGAAAGCCCACGGCUCAACCGUGGAGGGUCAUUGGAAACUGUUAAACUUGAGUGCAGGAGAGAAAAGUGGAAUUCCUAGUGUAGCGGUGAAAUGCGUAGAGAUUAGGAGGAACACCAGUGGCGAAGGCGGCUUUUUGGCCUGUAACUGACACUGAGGCGCGAAAGCGUGGGGAGCAAACAGG